UACAGAGGGUGCGAGCGUUGUUCGGAAUUAUUGGGCGUAAAGGGCGCGUAGGCGGUGCGGUAAGUCACCUGUGAAAUCUCCUGGCUCAACUGGGAGCUUGCAGGCGAAACUGCCGUGCUGGAGUGUGGGAGAGGUGCGUGGAAUUCCUGGUGUAGCGGUGAAAUGCGCAGAUAUCGGGAAGAACACCCGUGGCGAAGGCGGCUCUCUGGAACGCAACUGACGCUGAGACGCGAAAGCGUGGGGAGCAAACAGG
rnacentral:rRNA from 1 species